CCUUAAGACAAUGAAGCAAUAGUAGGACUGAUGAAAAGGCAAAGACAAUGCCUUUCUAACUGGGACACGACAUUAUAUACUAUGUUCUGGGGACUUGGUUCAGACAUAAAAAGUCUGCAAGCAGCGACUCGAAUACAGGGGUUUCAGACUACGGUCUUGGACAAUUAGGAGAAUAAAAAAGGAUAAAACAGGAUCAUUGCAUUGAAAAUGCAUCGUCUCUCCAAUGAUUGCUGGAUAGAAAUGGUGUCGAAAGGUGUCUACAUUUUCUGCAGUCCAUUGAAAUUCGAUCUCAUUGCAACUUUUUAACUCUUCUAAUGUUGUGUUCAAGAGCUGGUUGUAUGAUCUGUUUCAAAUAAAAUAUGGAAUAUUU